rnacentral:rRNA from 1 species
GGGUUGUGAGGUUAAGCGACUAAGCGUACACGGUGGAUGCCCUGGCAGUCAGAGGCGAUGAAGGACGUGCUAAUCUGCGAUAAGCGCCGGUAAGGUGAUAUGAACCGUUAUAACCGGCGAUUUCCGAAUGGGGAAACCCAGUGUGACUCGUCACACUAUCAUUAACUGAAUCCAUAGGUUAAUGAGGCGAACCGGGGAACUGAAACAUCUAAGUACCCCGAGGAAAAGAAAUCAACCGAGAUUCCCCCAGUAGCGGCGAGCGAACGGGGAGGAGCCCAGAGCCUGAAUCAGCAUGUGUGUUAGUGGAAGCGUCUGGAAAGGCGCGCGAUACAGGGUGACAGCCCCGUACACAAAAGCGCAUGUGCUGUGAGCUCGAUGAGUAGGGCGGGACACGUGGUAUCCUGUCUGAAUAUGGGGGACCAUCCUCCAAGGCUAAAUACUCCUGACUGACCGAUAGUGAACCAGUACCGUGAGGGAAAGGCGAAAAGAACCCCGGCGAGGGGAGUGAAAAAGAACCUGAAACCGUGUACGUACAAGCAGUGGGAGCACCCUUCGGGGUGUGACUGCGUACCUUUGUAUAAUGGGUCAGCGACUUAUAUUCUGUAGCAAGGUUAACCGUAUAGGGGAGCCGCAGGGAAACCGAGUCUUAACCGGGCGUUAAGUUGCAGGGUAUAGACCCGAAACCCGGUGAUCUAGCCAUGGGCAGGUUGAAGGUUGGGUAACACUAACUGGAGGACCGAACCGACUAAUGUUGAAAAAUUAGCGGAUGACCUGUGGCUGGGGGUGAAAGGCCAAUCAAACCGGGAGAUAGCUGGUUCUCCCCGAAAGCUAUUUAGGUAGCGCCUCGUGAAUUCAUCUCCGGGGUAGAGCACUGUUUCGGCUAGGGGCCAUCCCGGCUUACCAACCCGAUGCAAACUGCGAAUACCGGAGAAUGUUAUCACGGGAGACACACGGCGGGUGCUAACGUCCGUCGUGAAGAGGAAACAACCCAGACCGCCAGCUAAGGUCCCAAAGUCAUGGUUAAGUGGGAAACGAUGUGGGAAGGCCCAGACAGCCGGAUGUUGGCUUAGAAGCAGCCAUCAUUUAAAGAAAGCGUAAUAGCUCACUGGUCGAGUCGGCCUGCGCGGAAGAUGUAACGGGGCUAAACCAUGCACCGAAGCUGCGGCAGCGACGCUUAUGCGUUGUUGGGUAGGGGAGCGUUCUGUAAGCCUGCGAAGGUGGCCUGUGAGGGUUGCUGGAGGUAUCAGAAGUGCGAAUGCUGACAUAAGUAACGAUAAAGCGGGUGAAAAGCCCGCUCGCCGGAAGACCAAGGGUUCCUGUCCAACGUUAAUCGGGGCAGGGUGAGUCGACCCCUAAGGCGAGGCCGAAAGGCGUAGUCGAUGGGAAACGGGUUAAUAUUCCCGUACUUGGUGUUACUGCGAAGGGGGGACGGAGAAGGCUAUGUUGGCCGGGCGACGGUUGUCCCGGUUUAAGCGUGUAGGUGUGUGUUCCAGGUAAAUCCGGUUCACUUUAACACUGAGGCGUGACGACGAGGCACUACGGUGCUGAAGCAACAAAUGCCCUGCUUCCGGAAAGCCUCUAAGCAUCAGGUAACAUCAAAUCGUACCCCAAACCGACACAGGUGGUCAGGUAGAGAAUACCAAGGCGCUUGAGAGAACUCGGGUGAAGGAACUAGGCAAAAUGGUGCCGUAACUUCGGGAGAAGGCACGCUGACACGUAGGUGAAGUGAUUUACUCAUGGAGCUGAAGUCAGUCGAAGAUACCAGCUGGCUGCAACUGUUUAUUAAAACACAGCACUGUGCAAACACGAAAGUGGACGUAUACGGUGUGACGCCUGCCCGGUGCCGGAAGGUUAAUUGAUGGGGUCAGCGCAAGCGAAGCUCCUGAUCGAAGCCCCGGUAAACGGCGGCCGUAACUAUAACGGUCCUAAGGUAGCGAAAUUCCUUGUCGGGUAAGUUCCGACCUGCACGAAUGGCGUAAUGAUGGCGGGCUGUCUCCACCCGAGACUCAGUGAAAUUGAACUCGCUGUGAAGAUGCAGUGUACCCGCGGCAAGACGGAAAGACCCCGUGAACCUUUACUAUAGCUUGACACUGAACAUUGAGCCUUGAUGUGUAGGAUAGGUGGGAGGCUUUGAAGCGUGGACGCCAGUCUGCGUGGAGCCGACCUUGAAAUACCACCCUUUAAUGUUUGAUGUUCUAACGUGGACCCGUGAUCCGGGUUGCGGACAGUGUCUGGUGGGUAGUUUGACUGGGGCGGUCUCCUCCUAAAGAGUAACGGAGGAGCACGAAGGUUGGCUAAUCCUGGUCGGACAUCAGGAGGUUAGUGCAAUGGCAUAAGCCAGCUUGACUGCGAGCGUGACGGCGCGAGCAGGUGCGAAAGCAGGUCAUAGUGAUCCGGUGGUUCUGAAUGGAAGGGCCAUCGCUCAACGGAUAAAAGGUACUCCGGGGAUAACAGGCUGAUACCGCCCAAGAGUUCAUAUCGACGGCGGUGUUUGGCACCUCGAUGUCGGCUCAUCACAUCCCGGGCUGAAGUAGGUCCCAAGGGUAUGGCUGUUCGCCAUUUAAAGUGGUACGCGAGCUGGGUUUAGAACGUCGUGAGACAGUUCGGUCCCUAUCUGCCGUGGGCGCUGGAGAACUGAGGGGGCUGCUCCUAGUACGAGAGGACCGGAGUGGACGCAUCACUGGUGUUCGGGUUGUCAUGCCAAUGGCACUGCCCGGUAGCUAAAUGCGGAAGAGAUAAGUGCUGAAAGCAUCUAAGCACGAAACUUGCCCCGAGAUGAGUUCUCCCUGAGACUUUAGGUCUCCUGAAGGAACGUUGAAGACGACGACGUUGAUAGGCCGGGUGUGUAAGCGCAGCGAUGCGUUGAGCUAACCGGUACUAAUGAACCGUGAGGCUUAACCUUACAACGCCGAAG